rnacentral:rRNA from 1 species
GUCCACGCCCUAAACGAUGCGCACUAGAUUCGAGUGCCUCUGACGGUUCUCGGGUCGAAGCAAAGUGUUAAGUGCGCCGCCUGGGGAGUACGGCCGCAAGGCUAAACUCAAAGGAAUUGACGGGGCUCACACAAGCGGUGGAGCAUGUGGCUCAAUUCGAAGCAACGCGAAGAACCUUACCCGGGUUUGACAUGCUGGGAUUAGUCCGCCGAAAGGCGGAUGACGCGGCUUGCCGUGGAACCAGCACAGGUGCUGCAUGGCUGUCGU